GACGAACGCUGGCGGCGUGCCUAAUACAUGCAAGUUGAGCGAUGAAGAUUGGUGCUUGCACCAAUUUGAAGAGCAGCGAACGGGUGAGUAACGCGUGGGGAAUCUGCCUUUGAGCGGGGGACAACAUUUGGAAACGAAUGCUAAUACCGCAUAAUAACUUUAAACAUAAGUUUUAAGUUUGAAAGAUGCAAUUGCAUCACUCAAAGAUGAUCCCGCGUUGUAUUAGCUAGUUGGUGAGGUAAAGGCUCACCAAGGCGAUGAUACAUAGCCGACCUGAGAGGGUGAUCGGCCACAUUGGGACUGAGACACGGCCCAAACUCCUACGGGAGGCAGCAGUAGGGAAUCUUCGGCAAUGGACGAAAGUCUGACCGAGCAACGCCGCGUGAGUGAAGAAGGUUUUCGGAUCGUAAAACACUGUUGGUAGAGAAGAACGUUGGUGAGAGUGGAAAGCUCAUCAAGUGACGGUAACUACCCAGAAAGGGACGGCUAACUACGUG
rnacentral:rRNA from 1 species